AACGAACGCUGGCGGCAGGCCUAACACAUGCAAGUCGAGCGAGGACUUCGGUCCUAGCGGCGGACGGGUGAGUAACGCGUGGGAACGUGCCCUUUGCUUCGGAAUAGCCCUGGGAAACUGGGAGUAAUACCGGAUGAGCCCUUUGGGGGAAAGAUUUAUCGGCGAAGGAUCGGCCCGCGUUGGAUUAGGUAUUUGGUGGGGUAAUGGCCUACCAAGCCGACGAUCCAUAGCUGGUUUGAGAGGAUGAUCAGCCACACCGGGGCUGAGACACGGCCCAGACUCCUACGGGGGGGAGGAGAGGGGAAUCUUAGGCGAUGGGGGAAACCCUGAUCUAGCCGUGCCGCGUGAGCGAUGAAGGGCUUAGGGUUGUAAAGCUGUUUCAGCUGGGAAGAUAAUGACGGUACCAGCAGAAGAAGCCCCGGCUAACUCCGUG
rnacentral:rRNA from 1 species